GACGCGGUGGCCUAAUGGUUAGCGCGUUGGACUCCGGAUCAAGCGGUCCGGGUUUGAGGGUUCGAGUGCUGGCCGGGGUCA